rnacentral:sRNA from 1 species
UCGUCCACCUGCUGCGGGGCGAUGAAGUGAAUGUGUGUGUCGACUCCUCCGGCGGUGACGAGGCAGUGCUCGGCGGAGGCGACCUCCGUGCCCGGGCCGAUGACGAGGCCCGGGUGCACCCCGUCCUGCAGGCCCGGAUUGCCGGCCUUGCCGAUGGCGACGAUCUUUCCGUCGCGCACCCCGAUAUCGCCCUUGACGACCCCGAGCACCGCGUCGAUGAUCGUUCCACCGGUGAUGACGAGGUCGAGGGCCCCCGAUGCCCGGGUUCCGGAAGGGUCCUGCGCCAUACCGUCGCGA